rnacentral:rRNA from 1 species
AUGAACGCUAGCGGCAAGGCCUAAUACAUGCAAGGCGAAGGGGCAGCAAUGUCACUGUCGUACGGGUGCGUAACGCGUAUGCAACCUACCUAUCACAGGGGAAUAGCCUUUGGAAACAGGGAUUAAUACCGCAUAAAGCAGGGACACCGCAUGGUGAUAUUGCUAAAGAUUUAUCGGUGAUAGAUGGGCAUGCGUCUGAUUAGUUAGUUGGCAGGGUAACGGCCUACCAAGACGAUGAUCAGUAGGGGGCGUCAGAGCGUGGUCCCCCACACUGGCACUGAGAUACGGGCCAGACUCCUACGGGAGGCAGCAGUAGGGAAUAUUGGGCAAUGGAUGCAAGUCUGACCCAGCCAUGCCGCGUGCAGGAUGAAGGCGUUAUGCGUUGUAAACUGCUUUUAUACAGGAAGAAACGACUCUUGCGAGAGGCAUUGACGGUACUGUAUGAAUAAGCACCGGCUAACUCCGUG